AGAGUUUGAUUCUGGCUCAGGACUAACGUUGGCGGCGUGCCUAAUACAUGCAAGUCGAACGAGAGUUAAUUAGCAAUAGUUGACUCUAGUGGCGAACGGGUGAGUAAUGCAUGGAUAACAUACCUUAAAGACGGGGACAACUAUUCGAAAGGAUAGCUAAUACCGGAUGUGAUAGUUUUUCGCAAGGAAGACUAUUAAAGGGUGGCCUCUAUUUAUAAGCUAUCGCUUUAAGAUUGGUCCAUGUCCAAUUAGUUUGAUGGUGGGGUAAUGGCUCACCAUGACUACGAUUGGUAGCCGGCCUGAGAGGGUGAACGGCCACACUGGGACUGCGACACGGCCCAGACUCCUACGGGAGGCAGCAGUAGGGAAUUUUCGGCAAUGCCCGCAAGGGUGACCGAGCGACGCCGCGUGAAGGCUGAAGGCCUUAGGGUUGUAAACUUCUUUUAGCAAGGAAUAAAUGGUAUUGUGCUAAUAUCACAGUACUUUGACGGUACUUGCAGAAAAAGCUACGGCUAACUCUGUGCCAGCAGCCGCGGUAAUACAGAGGUAGCAAACGUUGUCCGGAUUCACUGGGCGUAAAGGGUUCGUAGGUGGUUUAGUAAGUCUGAUGUGAAAUCGUUCUGCUCAACAGAACAACUGCAUCAGAUACUGCUAAACUUGAGUGCAGUAGGGGAAAAUGGAAUUUCAGGUGUAGCGGUGAAAUGCGUAGAUAUCUGAAAGAACACCUGAGGCGAAGGCGGUUUCCUGGCCUGCAACUGACACUGAGGAACGAAAGCUAGGGGAGCAAACAGGAUUAGAUACCCUGGUAGUCCUAGCUGUAAACGAUGUACACUAGGUGUAGGAGAUUCAUUUCUUCUGUGCCGACGCUAACGCAUUAAGUGUACCGCCUGGGGACUACGAUCGCAAGAUUGAAACUCAAAGAAAUUGACGGGGGUCCGCACAAGUGGUGGAGCAUGUGGUUUAAUUCGACGCAACGCGAAGAACCUUACCCAGGCUUGACAUCCUAGUGACCGAUUUGUGAAAGCAGAUCUUUGGACUUUCGGGUUCACAUUAGGACAGGUGUUGCAUGGUUGUCGUCAGCUCGUGCCGUGAGGUGUUGGGUUAAGUCCUCUAACGAGCGCAACCCCUAUUGCUAGUUGCCAGCGAGUCAUGUCGGGAACUCUAGCGAGACUGCCUGGGAUAACCAGGAGGAAGGUGGGGAUGACGUCAAAUCAUCAUGGCCCUUAUGUCUGGGGCGACACACGUGCUACAAUGGCAGGUACAGCGGGUUGCAAGACCGCGAGGUGGAGCUAAUCCCUAAAAGCCUGUCCCAGUUCGGAUUGGAGUCUGCAACUCGACUCCAUGAAGUUGGAAUCACUAGUAAUCGUGGAUCAGCCAUGCCACGGUGAAUACGUUCCCGGGCCUUGUACACACCGCCCGUCACACCACGAAAGUUGUUUGUACCAGAAGAUCCUGAUCCAACCGCAAGGAGGUAGGGAGCUAAGGUAUGAAUGAUAAUUGGGGUGAAGUCGUAACAAGGU
rnacentral:rRNA from 1 species